rnacentral:tRNA from 1 species
CCGCCCAUAGCUCAGUUGGUAGAGCAACUCCCUCUUAAGGAGAUGGUCCGAGGUUCGAAUCCUCGUGGGCGGACAA